GCCAGCAGCAGGAGCCCCGACAGGCCGGCCGUCACCAUCACAUCAGCUCCCUGGUCUGUCAUGGUGGCAGGCAGCGCGCUCCAAACCCAGCCAGGCUCAGACUCCCCGGUGCCACGAGCUCGGCCUCCUCACAGCUCUGAGCAGCCGCUGAAGCCCGGGGCGACUCACACGCGCGUGUAAAUGUGCCGGUGCAGCAGGUAGCGGCUUCAAAGCUCAGAUUAGGCUUUUAAUUAUGCUCAGAGAGAGAGAGGGGGAGAUGACACGUACAGCGGCUGGCGCCGAAAUGGAGCUCCACAUUCCUCCUGACUUGAUAAACAGCAACGCAAAGCGGAGCGGUGAACUGUGGCUUUUCCAGCUUUAGGACUGUGUCUGAGAGCAGCUCCUGAACGGGCAGCUUGGUUUGCUUCGCACACAAAACGCGGCCUCGUCCUGCCUCUAUGCACCCAGAAUAAGGAGCGUGUACCCUGAACGCCACACGGACAUGAUCAGUCGUACCCACUCCCCGGUUCACUCCUAAUGAAGACCUGCAAUAAGAUGUUACUACAACCUACAUACAUAGAGGACUGGGGGAGGAUCACAUUCACCCGUUAAAAAAGCAUUUUACUAAAUCAAUUUCAUUCAGUGGUGUUUCUGCAACGUAUAAUGAGUUAGAGCUACAAACUGGACUAUUCAACGAGGUGAAAGCAGAUCAGCUGAGCUGGAUUCGGUGCAACAGAUGAACGAAAACCUCCGAUUUUAAAAACCCGAAGAUUCUUUUCAUUAGAUUAAACCCGCGUCUGUGUUCCGACGGGACACAACGAGGAUGAAGGCAAAGCAGGAGACCACAUUUCACCACAGCACGGUUCUCUCAGAGCAGUUCAUCUGCAUAAAACAAGCCCGAGCAACUUCAUCGUAGUUUUACUUACUGCGAGUGGCAGAAAUUUACAUCCAAGUGUGUGAGCAAACGUCCAGUCCUGUAACCUGGGAGCGUGUCCUGGAUGCUGCCUUCACGGCCCCUUUUAUAAGGCCACGGUUGUUCGGCUCUGAGAAUAGCGGGCUGUAUCCCACGCGGAGAAAAAACAAAAACCCUUAGAAAUAACGAUGCCGCGCCGCCGCUGCCGUGGGAGACGAUGGACCUGGAGCUCCCCCUGUCGGACGACGGGGGGUACUGCUCUAACCAACAAUCAGAAGUACAUGAAGCUGCAACCACCCAUGCAGAAGAAUGACAGUGGUAUCGGUUAUAACUGAUGCAUUUUUAAAAACAAUAAAAUGUACACAAACACACACAGCACGAAAGUCAAACAACAGUGAUGCAAUGAGGCUUCACUCCAGGCUCGUGAUUUAUGCAUUUAUUUGCUCUCAAUAAUUAAAGGGUUAAAACGUCAUGGGUUCUUUAAUCUUACAAUUCCUACAAGUAAAACAUUUGUGAAAUAAAAGAUGACAUCACGCCUA